rnacentral:miRNA from 1 species
ACUCAGCCCUGGGGGCACUUCC